CCUAAGAAGAAACCCGAGGAACAAACCUAGGUUUUCUUCCCUACGAAACAAAUCAUCAUUAACGAUGAUACAAAGAAAAGAAAAACAACUAGCCAGAAGUAGAAGGAUUUAUCUUUUCUUCCAGGAUGAUAAUAAUCCUUUUGACAUAUUAUCAUGUCAUAUGGACUGAUUGUUGUACAUGAUCGAGCUCGAGUCGCUGGUAAUGAAGAUAAGUGGUUGUUGAUAGAGAAGGAGCAGAUGCUGUUGUUAUCUGGUGGUAACACACGGAAACAAAAUAUGGAUGAUGAGGUAGCGCGCGAUGGAUGAAUGAACUGUGCUCGGGUGAGUUCUAGAUGGUCAUAGACUCAUAGUAAGUUCGGCAUCAUAUUUUUUUUACCGCUGUUUGAAGAAAUUUUGUUAGUUUCUUUUUGUCAGUAAUUUGAUUAAUUAAUGUCGAGCAUAUGAUAUUGAAGAGUGUCUUCUUCAUUUUUGUCUUUUUGUUAGUAGAACCAUGGUUUUCUACCAUUGGCGUUGCAAUUCUCUUGCUCCAAUUACUGUAUGUAUGGAAUCUAUUAGAUGCACGUUGUUAAAUUUUUGGCUUUUUAUGUAUUAUUAAUUUAUUAAUUGGAGUA